UACGUAGGGUGCGAGCGUUGUCCGGAAUUAUUGGGCGUAAAGGGCUCGUAGGCGGUUUGUCGCGUCGGGAGUGAAAUCCACUGGCUUAACUGGUGGCUUGCUUUCGAUACGGGCAGACUGGAGGUAUGCAGGGGAGAACGGAAUUCCUGGUGUAGCGGCGAAAUGCGCAGAUAUCAGGAGGAACACCGGUGGCGAAGGCGGCUCUCUGGUACGUGACUGACGCUGAGACGCGAAAGCGUGGGGAGCGAACAGG
rnacentral:rRNA from 1 species